rnacentral:rRNA from 1 species
GUGGAUUAAUUCGAUGCAACGCGAAAACCUUACCUACCCUUGACAUGUCCGGAAUCCCGAAGAGAUUUGGGAGUGCUCGCAAGAGAACCGGAACACAGGUGCUGCAUGGCUGUCGUCAGCUCGUGUCGUGAGAUGUUGGGUUAAGUCCCGCAACGAGCGCAACCCUUGUCAUUAGUUGCCAUCAUUUGGUUGGGCACUCUAAUGAGACUGCCGGUGACAAACCGGAGGAAGGUGGGGAUGACGUCAAGUCCUCAUGGCCCUUAUGGGUAGGGCUUCACACGUCAUACAAUGGUCGGUACAGAGGGUUGCCAACCCGCGAGGGGGAGCUAAUCCCACAAAGCCGAUCGUAGUCCGGAUCGCAGUCUGCAACUCGACUGCGUGAAGUCGGAAUCGCUAGUAAUCGUGGAUCAGCAUGUCACGGUGAAUACGUUCCCGGGUCUU